CCUACGGGUGGCUGCAGUGGGGAAUAUUGGACAAUGGGCGAAAGCCUGAUCCAGCCAUGCCGCGUGUGUGAAGAAGGCCUUCGGGUUGUAAAGCACUUUCAGUGGGGAAGAAAGCCUUGGGGCUAAUACCCUCGAGGAAGGACAUCACCCACAGAAGAAGCACCGGCUAACUCCGUGCCAGCAGCCGCGGUAAUACGGAGGGUGCGAGCGUUAAUCGGAAUUACUGGGCGUAAAGCGCGCGUAGGCGGUCUGAUAAGCCGGUUGUGAAAGCCCCGGGCUCAACCUGGGAACGGCAUCCGGAACUGUCAGGCUAGAGUGCAGGAGAGGAAGGUAGAAUUCCCGGUGUAGCGGUGAAAUGCGUAGAGAUCGGGAGGAAUACCAGUGGCGAAGGCGGCCUUCUGGACUGACACUGACGCUGAGGUGCGAAAGCGUGGGUAGCAAACAGGAUUAAAUACCCUGGUAGUC
rnacentral:rRNA from 1 species